GCCGACGUGGCCGAUCAGAAAGGCAGCGGUCCUAUAAACCGCCCCAUGCUGGUGCAAGUCCAGUCGUCGGCU
rnacentral:tRNA from 1 species